UGCAAGUCGAACGGCAGCGCGGACUUCGGUCUGGCGGCGAGUGGCGAACGGGUGAGUAAUGUAUCGGAACGUGCCCAGUAGCGGGGGAUAACUACUCGAAAGAGUAGCUAAUACCGCAUACGCCCUACGGGGGAAAGGGGGGGAUCGCAAGACCUCUCACUAUUGGAGCGGCCGAUAUCGGAUUAGCUAGUUGGUGAGGUAAAGGCUCACCAAGGCGACGAUCCGUAGCUGGUUUGAGAGGACGACCAGCCACACUGGGACUGAGACACGGCCCAGACUCCUACGGGAGGCAGCAGUGGGGAAUUUUGGACAAUGGGGGAAACCCUGAUCCAGCCAUUCCGCGUGUGCGAUGAAGGCCUUCGGGUUGUAAAGCACUUUUGGCAGGAAAGAAAUCGCAUGGAUUAAUACUCUGUGUGGAUGACGGUACCUGCAGAAUAAGCACCGGCUAACUACGUGCCAGCAGCCGCGGUAAUACGUAGGGUGCAAGCGUUAAUCGGAAUUACUGGGCGUAAAGCGUGCGCAGGCGGUUCGGAAAGAAAGGUGUGAAAUCCCAGGGCUUAACCUUGGAACUGCACUUUUAACUACCGAGCUAGAGUAUGUCAGAGGGGGGUGGAAUUCCGCGUGUAGCAGUGAAAUGCGUAGAUAUGCGGAGGAACACCGAUGGCGAAGGCAGCCCCCUGGGAUAAUACUGACGCUCAUG
rnacentral:rRNA from 1 species